rnacentral:misc_RNA from 1 species
GAAAUGCGAUAAGUAGUGUGAAUUGCAGAAUUCAGUGAAUCAUCGAAUCUUUGAACGCACAUUGCGCCCCUUGGUAUUCCAUGGGGCAUGCCUAUUCGAGCGUCAUUUGUACCCUCAAGCUCUGCUUGGUGUUGGGUGUUUGUCCCGUCUCCGCGCGUGGACUCGCCCCAAAGUGAUUGGCAGCCGGCGUACUGGUCCCGGAGCGCAGCACAUGUCGCGCAAACGAGUGCCUUGGUACGGCGGCGUCCAUAAGCCCCUCUCUCACGCUCUUGACCUCGGAUCAGGUAGGGAUACCCGCUGAACUUAAGC